AUCUAGUUGACGAGUCCCAAAUAGGACGAAAUGCGCCUUAUCCUGGAU
rnacentral:hammerhead_ribozyme from 1 species